UAUCGUGAGGCAAAGGGAAUAGCAUGUAUAUCAUGUUGUGAUGGUUCGUCUGAUAUGAUCUUCGUGUGCGUAUAGGAGUUGGCACGUCUUGCUAGAGGCCGCUACCGACUAUUGGGCCGAGUAGGAGUACUCGGGCCAUGUCUAUACGUAUUCGAACCCAUAGGGUCACACACUUAAGGGGCUGGAAGCUCAAUUCGGAUCUGAUCCGAGUUGGAUUAGGUUUAGAAGAACUAAUGGGCCUUGGA
rnacentral:lncRNA from 1 species